UGGAUGUCCUGUACUUUAUCUGGCAGCCCUCGCCACAAGUCUUCCAGCAAGAGCGGCAAACUGGAACGUAUUGGCUUAGCUAGCUGAGAAGUCUAGAGGCUGGCCUGCCUUCAGCACAAGCUGGGGCCGGAAGUCCCCAAGACCGUGCCUGUAUUCUCAGAAGUCUGGAGGAGGUAGCCCAGUACUGAUAUCUUCAUAAAGGCAUCAGGGAUCAAGCCCUCUCACUGCCCUUCUAUUCUUGAUACAGACAUCAAGGCUCGGAGAAGUCAAGAAAAUCACUCAAGUCUACACAGCUAAGUGGCCCAACUAAAAGGCAUCAAA